rnacentral:rRNA from 1 species
AGAGUUUGAUCAUGGCUCAGAAUCAACGCUGGCGGCGUGCCUAACACAUGCAAGUCGCACGAGAAAGGGGCAACCUGAGUAAAGUGGCGCACGGGUGAGUAACACGUGGAUCAUCUACCUUUUGGUGGGGAAUACCCCCGGGAAACUGGGGACAAUUCCGCAUAAGCUCGUAAGAGGAAAGCAGCAAUGCGCCGAAAGAG